GAUGAACGCUGGCGGCGUGCCUAAUACAUGCAAGUCGAGCGAACGGACGAGAAGCUUGCUUCUCUGCUGUUAGCGGCGGACGGGUGAGUAACACGUGGAUAACCUACCUAUAAGACUGGGAUAACUUCGGGAAACAGGAGCUCAUAUCGGAUAAUAUUUUGAACCGCAUGGUUCAAAAGUGAAAGACGGUCUUGCUGUUACUUAUAGUUGCAUCCGCGCUGCAUUAGCUAGUUGGUAAGGUAACGGCUUACCAAGGCAACGAUGCAUAGCCGACCUGAGAGGGGGAUCGGCCACACGGGAACUGAAACACGGUCCAGACUCCUACGGGAGGCAGCAGUAGGGAAUCUUCCGCAAUGGGCGAAAGCCUGACGGAGCAACGCCGCGUGAGUGAGGAAGGUCUUCGGAUCGUAAAACUCUGUUAUUAGGGAAGAACAUAUGUGUAAGAAACUGUGCACAGCUUGACGGUACCUAAUCAGAAAGCCACGGCUAACUACGUG
rnacentral:rRNA from 1 species